rnacentral:lncRNA from 1 species
UUAUUCAGUGAAUAAUGUAUGAAUGAAAUUAUUAACAGUGUAUGUUUUUCGGGGGGUGCCAAAAAGGUAUCGUGUCCCGGGCGUCAAAAAGGUAUCGUGCCCCGGGCACCAGUUAUGCUCACUACGCCACUGAUAUUUCAUUUUCCUUUGCCAAAGCAUAUGUCAUUCAGUUAUUCACCAUGCAUUUCUGUGCAUGGUAAAUAACUGAAUGACACUAUGCAUUUCCCUUCUUCCUAUUUACUCUCUUGCAACACUUACUGCAGUCCUCAAUGUGUAUUCACAACUCCUCCAUUUUGAAUAUACUCUUACUCACUGAACCAAAUCUUUCAUAUAUAUUUUGCACUUCCUUUCAUUCAUAUAUUCAUUUCUUUCAUCCUCUAUCUGCUCAUCAGGAUUUUUCUUUAAAAUCAGCAGUUACUAGUCUGGCUUGUGAGCCCAAUUUUAAUUUUUUUUUUAUCACUCUUAUAUCCACAAUCUUCUUCCUCAAUCUCUUAUCACACACAACAGAUUAAUCAUACUCUUCUGAUAAUUUUUACAGUUCUCCCAGCUAUAUUGAUGGAUGGUCAUGUCUCAGUGUUUGAGAUAAUUAAUCCUCUCUCAACACAAACUUCUAUCAUUUGUAUCCCAUUCAGUCACUGUAGGAUCAUCAUAUUUCUCAACCUAAUCCUUCCACAUAGUCCUCUCCAUAUUAACCAUGUUAUUCAAAUCAUCUUCCAUGAUCACUCAUUCAUUGUCUCAUCAUUCACUUCAUAUCAGAACUUUUUUCCUCAUUCUCAUUUGUAAUAUCUAUAAUAGCAUGCAACAAAAAAUACCAUUUUGUAGGCCCAUCUUUAACAUCACUAUAUUAUUCUGUCAUUUGUCCAGUUAUACUGUCACAUGCAUUUUUUUUUUUUUGUUCUCUCAUUUAUUAGCAUAAUCAUAUAAUUUUUCACUUGUUUACUGUCA